UACGAAGGGGGCUAGCGUUGUUCGGAAUCACUGGGCAUAAAGCGCACGUAGGCGGUGGCGUAAGUCGGGUGUGAAAUCCCUCGGCCCAACCGAGGAACUGCGCCCGAUACUGCGUUGCUUGAGGACCAAAGGGGUGCAUGGAAUUUCCGGUGGAGCGGUGAAAUGCGUUGAUAUCGGAAGGAACGUCGGCGGCGAAAGCGGUGCACUGGUUGGUCUCUGACGCUGAGGUGCGAAAGCCAGGGGAGCAAACGGG
rnacentral:rRNA from 1 species